rnacentral:rRNA from 1 species
GACGAGCCACACGAACGUUAUUCGGAAUUACUGGGCUUAAAGGGUGCGUAGGCGGCGCGAUAAGUUGGGUGUGAAAUACCUCGGCUCAACCGAGGAACUGCGCCCAAAACUAUCGUGCUCGAGGAAGAUAGAGGUGAGCGGAACUUACGGUGGAGCGGUGAAAUGCGUUGAUAUCGUAAGGAACACCCGUGGCGAAAGCGGCUCACUGGGUCUUCUCUGACGCUGAUGCACGAAAGCUAGGGGAGCAAACGGG